rnacentral:rRNA from 1 species
AGUGAACGCUGGCGGUAGGCCUAACACAUGCAAGUCGAACGGCAGCACAGUAAGAGCUUGCUCUUACGGGUGGCGAGUGGCGGACGGGUGAGGAAUACAUCGGAAUCUACUUUUUCGUGGGGGAUAACGUAGGGAAACUUACGCUAAUACCGCAUACGACCUACGGGUGAAAGCAGGGGAUCUUCGGACCUUGCGCGAUUGAAUGAGCCGAUGUCGGAUUAGCUAGUUGGCGGGGUAAAGGCCCACCAAGGCGACGAUCCGUAGCUGGUCUGAGAGGAUGACCAGCCACACUGGAACUGAGACACGGUCCAGACUCCUACGGGAGGCAGCAGUGGGGAAUAUUGGACAAUGGGCGCAAGCCUGAUACAGCCAUACCGCGUGGGUGAAGAAGGCCUUCGGGUUGUAAAGCCCUUUUGUGGGGAAAGAAAAGCAGCAGGUUAAUACCCCGCUGUUCUGACGGUACCCAAAGAAUAAGCACCGGCUAACUUCG